GUACUCGCUUCUGCAGCACAUACACUAAAACUGGAGUGGUCCAGGGAAGAUUAGCAGGGCCCCUGUACAAGGAUGGCAUGCAAAUUCCUGAAGUGUUCCAAAUAAAU
rnacentral:snRNA from 1 species